rnacentral:rRNA from 1 species
AUGAACGCUAGCGACAGGCUUAACACAUGCAAGUCGAGGGGCAGCACAGGUAGCAAUACCGGGUGGCGACCGGCGCACGGGUGAGUAACGCGUAUGCAACUUGCCUAUCAGAGGGGGAUAACCCGGCGAAAGUCGGACUAAUACCGCAUGAAGCAGGGGCCCCGCAUGGGGAUAUUUGCUAAAGAUUCAUCGCUGAUAGAUAGGCAUGCGUUCCAUUAGGCAGUUGGCGGGGUAACGGCCCACCAAACCGACGAUGGAUAGGGGUUCUGAGAGGAAGGUCCCCCACAUUGGUACUGAGACACGGACCAAACUCCUACGGGAGGCAGCAGUGAGGAAUAUUGGUCAAUGGGCGUAAGCCUGAACCAGCCAAGUCGCGUGAGGGAUGAAGGUUCUAUGGAUCGUAAACCUCUUUUAUAAGGGAAUAAAGUGCGGGACGUGUCCCGUUUUGUAUGUACCUUAUGAAUAAGGAUCGGCUAACUCCGUGCCAGCAGCCGCGGUAAUACGGAGGAUCCGAGCGUUAUCCGGAUUUAUUGGGUUUAAAGGGUGCGUAGGCGGCCUUUUAAGUCAGCGGUGAAAGUCUGUGGCUCAACCAUAGAAUUGCCGUUGAAACUGGGGGGCUUGAGUAUGUUUGAGGCAGGCGGAAUGCGUGGUGUAGCGGUGAAAUGCAUAGAUAUCACGCAGAACCCCGAUUGCGAAGGCAGCCUGUCAAGCCAUUACUGACGCUGAUGCACGAAAGCGUGGGGAUCAAACAGGAUUAGAUACCCUGGUAGUCCACGCAGUAAACGAUGAUCACUAGCUGUUUGCGAUACACUGUAAGCGGCACAGCGAAAGCGUUAAGUGAUCCACCUGGGGAGUACGCCGGCAACGGUGAAACUCAAAGGAAUUGACGGGGGCCCGCACAAGCGGAGGAACAUGUGGUUUAAUUCGAUGAUACGCGAGGAACCUUACCCGGGUUUGAACGCAUUCGGACCGAGGUGGAAACACCUUUUCUAGCAAUAGCCGUUUGCGAGGUGCUGCAUGGUUGUCGUCAGCUCGUGCCGUGAGGUGUCGGCUUAAGUGCCAUAACGAGCGCAACCCUUGCCACUAGUUACUAACAGGUGAUGCUGAGGACUCUGGUGGGACUGCCAGCGUAAGCUGCGAGGAAGGCGGGGAUGACGUCAAAUCAGCACGGCCCUUACAUCCGGGGCGACACACGUGUUACAAUGGCGUGGACAAAGGGAGGCCACCUGGCGACAGGGAGCGAAUCCCCAAACCACGUCUCAGUUCGGAUCGGAGUCUGCAACCCGACUCCGUGAAGCUGGAUUCGCUAGUAAUCGCGCAUCAGCCAUGGCGCGGUGAAUACGUUCCCGGGCCUUGUACACACCGCCCGUCAAGCCAUGGGAGCCGGGGGUACCUGAAGUCCGUAACCGAAAGGAUCGGCCUAGGGUAAAACUGGUGACUGGGGCU